AGUUGUUCAAAUUGAAUGUUAUGUGAAACCCUUCAUUCUUCUCAAAGGGUACAAUGAUCUGUCACAAUUUCCUCUCCAUCAAUUCCAAAUCAAUUCCUUUAUCUUUUGCUUCAAUUUUAGCACACGCAAAAGUAAGUUUUAUUACGGUUUUGUUUUGUUUAUAUCAAUAUAUUGAACCAAUAUACACUUCUUCAGAGGUACGUUUCAUUUGAAAUGUCGAGACUGAAUUCGUUUGUAAACUAUUGUUUGUGUUUCCUCCGUCAAUUGUAACGGAUCACGUUUUGAUUUGUUCGAUAUUCGUGUUGACUUGUAUCGUUGAUGAUAGAACAGUAUGUUUUGAUCUCAUGCUUUAUCAGGUGAUAUUGUAUCUAUCGCAUUGACAGAGGGAACUUCGGGAUUUGACAGAAUAACGGGGGGCGGUUUCUGAAUUUGCACAUCGCAACCGUAUUCAGCUUACUUUUGUUUUAAUUUCCUCCUAAAACCAUGUUGGCAUAUGAUUAUUAUGAUUUUAGUAUGCUCCUAAUGUCUAGCAACUUUUUGAAUUGUACAUGAGUUUUGAAGUUUGUUUUUAUUUUUCCUGUCAUUAUUGAGAGGCGGAUUUUUAAUAAGUAAAAGACCUGUAGAUGAAGAAAGGCCUUCCUAAGUUGCAGCAAGUGAACUGGUCCCAUUGAGUCAACAUCACACUGUUUCAUGUUUAAGGUAUGCUUUAUUGAAGCUUUAAUCUUUAAAUGCCUUCAUUAACGUCUGCUGAUCGACUCUAGGGUUCCAUUAGUUCCCCUCUCGCCGGUGAACACACUGUUCCGAAUCAUGUUCAUGUCUCACGUCGAGCCCCAUCCCAUAAGAGCUUUUCAUCUCUUCCGGUCUAUUUAUUAUUGCAAACGAAUUCGGUAUAUUUGCGUUUUUUUUUUGCCUGAUUUUAAGCAGUAGAAAUCUGUAUUUGAAUGUUCUUUUAGCAUCAGAUACGGUUAGAUAAUAUUGCAACUGAAUAGUUACUCGGUACUACUAAUCUGAUUCUUAUUCAACAUAUAUUGCUCCAAAUUGUGUAUGGAUUAUGUGCAAGGCACAUGUGGAAAUUAUGGGCAGUGUGGCGGUGGAAACUACGGGCAAGUAAGUGGCGGAAAUUAUGUGCAAGGCACAGGUUGAAAUUAUGGGCAAGGUGGCGCUGGAAACUACGGGCAGGCAAGUGGCGGAACUUAUGGGCAAGGAGGUGGUGGAUAUCAUGGACGAGGAAUGGGUUCUGGCGGCAAUCAAACUUCAUCGCAAUAUGAAGAAAAUCCGAACUUUUCACAGGCGGGGCAGAGGAGCAACAUUGGUGGGCAGCAAUGGAACCGAACUAUGAAGUUGUUGAAGAAGCAGAGGCUUUUAAAAAGUGGGAGCUUUUUUCAGAAGUCGGCGAUUUGAAAAAGUAUUCUAUAAAUUAUGAUAGAAGUGGGAGAUCAAAGGGGACGGCUGAGGUUGUGUUUGCAAGACGGCAAGACGCUCUAGCAGCUGUCAAGAGGCAGAACGUGACGGAUCCAAUCAUGGAUUACGAACUGUAAAGAAAUGCUGACAGGAUCAUGAUCAGGAUAUGAAUUCUUGGUUUUAUUCUAUAAUUAUUCAGAUGCUGGACUUCACUUACGUAUAUACACAUACAAACAAUAUUCUUCCAAACAUGCUGUUGGUGGACAUAGAGAGAUGUGGAAGGCCCGGUUGCUUGCAUCAUAUUGGUGCUCCUGUUUUGCCUCCCACAUUACGGGACCCACCGUGUAGGGUUCUUGUUUGCACCUAUCGUGAUCAUUGGCUUCUGUGCAUCAGCGCCAUUGGAGUUCACAACAUUUUUUACCGGAACCCACAAGUUUUUCAAGCGUCAUCGCCUUAUUACAUGUACAAGUUUCUUAAGAAAACAAAAAUAGGAGGAUGGAUGUCAUUGGGUUGGAUCUUGCUGUGUAUAACAGAAAAGUUAAGAUGGCCGGUUCUUGGAAUCGCGAUACUUGUUGUGGUUGUCGAAAGCCAAGCUAUUAUCAUUGGGACAUUUUCUAUUAUCAAACAGUGUUCGGCAUUGGGUUGUUUCCGAGGGUUAAAAAAAUCCACACAUCGCCUACUAAUAAGCACGGUCAAAUCUACAUUGCCGAGAUCAACUGGACUUUGAUGCUUUUAUGCUUAGCCGUCACAAUCGGUUUUCGUGACACCAAACAUAUAAGAAGGGCGUAAAAAACAACUUUUCUACAAGCGGUGUGAUUAGUGCUUGCUCAAUUAUCUACUUUAAUUUCCAUCCCGAGAGGAGUCACUCAUUUUUUGCAAUAUACAGGUUGGUUUGGUAUACUAAAA